AUGAACGCUAGCGGCAGGCUUAAUACAUGCAAGUCGUGGGGCAGCAGGUUUGUAGCAAUACAGAUGCUGGCGACCGGCAAACGGGUGCGGAACACGUACAGAACCUUCCUUUGAGCGGGGAAUAGCCCAGAGAAAUUUGGAUUAAUACCCCAUAGUAUAAUGAAGUGGCAUCACUUUAUUAUUAAAGAUUUAUCACUCGAAGAUGGCUGUGCGGCUGAUUAGGUAGUUGGCGGGGUAAAGGCCCACCAAGCCUGCGAUCAGUAACUGGUGUGAGAGCACGACCAGUCACACGGGCACUGAGACACGGGCCCGACUCCUACGGGAGGCAGCAGUAAGGAAUAUUGGUCAAUGGAGGCAGCUCUGAACCAGCCAUGCCGCGUGGAGGAUGAAGGUCCUCUGGAUUGUAAACUUCUUUUAUAUGGGACGAAAAAAGGCUUUUCUAAGUCGUCUGACGGUACCAUAUGAAUAAGCACCGGCUAACUCCGUG
rnacentral:rRNA from 1 species